AGGUGUCUGUGUAUGUGUCAGUGUCUGUAUCUAUCUAUGUGUUAAGGUGUAUGUAGCAGAACCCCUUUUUGGCUGUCCCAUUCCUUUCAUUUAUUGUUGGCACUGCAGAGAUUUUCCUGUGCCUGGGGUACACAAAAUUCCAUGUAACUAGAUGUGGCCAUACUUUGUUCUGUAUGAGAAUACCAGCUUACAUGUGAACGACUAAAUUCACCAUACGAACAAAGUACCGAAUGAACCGGACCACCCUGAUGUGAAGAAUGGAUAUAAUUUACCUCCCUGAUUGCUUUUCAUAUUCCCUUGU